GGAAUGUUCAAGAACAUCAUGGUACCCAGCGAGAGGAAUGACCCUUGAGAGUGACCUGUUUACAAGUGCCUUUCUGGCCUCCUCAGAAUCACUUAACCUAGGCCACCCUUCCGUAAUUCAGAGAAAAUCAAAACCACAGUUUAGAGCCUCAAAAAAGUUCAUGUAGUGGGGAAAUGAAGAGCUCCUCAGAGUUCUGACGCAAAUGGAAAAGACUUUUUUCCACCUCCAGUUACCCCUCUGGGCCCUUUCACCACCUGGAAAAAAACAGUGGUACAUGAUUGAACAAAACCUCAACCACAAUGGAUUAUGCUAUUCUUCUCUCAAAAUGCCAUUAAGAAGUGCCAACAAGGAAACUUUUUUUUUCUUCUCUACUCUUUUAUUCCAGUGAGUCUCAGAUGCUUUUCAGUUUACUUCUCUGCUCCACUGACAUUGGACUUGGCCACAUGAGUUGCCUUGGCCAAUGGGAUGUUAACAGAGAGGACACGAAUAUGUAUGCUUCCACAGUUUGGCUUGGCCUCCUACAUCUCUGGAUAGCAGUGGCAAGAGCAUGCCCUGGGCAGAAAUCCACUCCUCUUGCAGCAGAGGAGCC